rnacentral:rRNA from 1 species
GACACAGGUGGUCAGGUCGAGUAGACCAAGGCGCUUGAGAAAACUCUGCUGAAGGAACUAGGCAAAAUGGUACCGUAACUUCGGGAGAAGGUACGCUGUUGUUGGUGAUGGAACUCGCUUCCUGAGCUGACGACAGCCGCAGAAACCAGGCCGCUGCAACUGUUUAUUAAAAACGUAGCACUCUGCAAACACGAAAGUGGACGUAUAGGGUGUGAUGCCUGCCCGGUGCUGGAAGGUUAAUUGAUGGGGUUAGCGCAAGCGAAGCUCUUGAUCGAAGCCCCAGUAAACGGCGGCCGUAGCUAUAACGGUCCUAAGGUAGCGAAAUUCCUUGUCGGGUAAGUUCCGACCUGCACGAAUGGCAUAAUGAUGGCGGCGCUGUCUCCAGCAGAGGCUCAGUGAAAUCGAAAUCGCUGUGAAGAUGCAGUGUACCCGCGGCUAGACGGAAAGACCCCGUGAACCUUUACUGCAGCUUGACACUGAACUUUGACCUUACUUGUGUAGGAUAGGUGGGAGGCUUUGAAGCUGGAACGCUAGUUCCAGUGGAGCCGUCCUUGAAAUACCACCCUGGUAAUGUUGAGGUUCUAACUCUGUCCCGUGAUCCGGGACGAGGACCGUGUCUGGUGGGUAGUUUGACUGGGGCGGUCUCCUCCUAAAGAGUAACGGAGGAGUACGAAGGUGCGCUCAGCGUGGUCGGAAAUCACGCGUAGAGUAUAAAGGCAAAAGCGCGCUUAACUGCGAGACCCACAAGUCGAGCAGGUACGAAAGUAGGUCUUAGUGAUCCGGUGGUUCUGUAUGUAAGGGCCAUCGCUCAACGGAUAAAAGGUACUCUGGGGAUAACAGGCUGAUACCGCCCAAGAGUUCAUAUCGACGGCGGUGUUUGGCACCUCGAUGUCGGCUCAUCUCAUCCUGGGGCUGAAGCAGGUCCCAAGGGUAUGGCUGUUCGCCAUUUAAAGAGGUACGCGAGCUGGGUCUAGAACGUCGUGAGACAGUUCGGUCCCUAUCUACCGUGGGCGCUGGAAAUUUGAGAGGAUCUGCUCCUAGUACGAGAGGACCAGAGUGGACGAACCUCUGGUGUACCGGUUGUGACGCCAGUCGCAUCGCCGGGUAGCUAUGUUCGGAAGGGAUAACCGCUGAAAGCAUCUAAGCGGGAAGCCUACCUCAAGAUAAGAUUUCCCUAGGACUUUAUGUCCUCUAAAGAGCCGUUCGAGACUAGGACGUUGAUAGGUUGGAUGUGGAAGCAUAGUGAUAUGUGAAGCUGACCAAUACUAAUUGCUCGUGAGGCUUGACC